AUCAUUGAUUUCUUCUACAACCUACGGCAUUCUUGACUGACCACCUUCAAACACUUCGAAGUCAUCAGUCGGUGCGACUGUCAAACGUGGCCAAAUGUUCGAUAGACUUUGCCGUCAAGUUGUCUGCAGUAGAGAUCAGUGUCGUGGUGAGGGAGGCUAUACAGAUGGGACACGACAAGACCGUUUGGUGUACCAUACAUGCUGCAGACAGAAGACCAGCCGUAACAUACAUUGAGGAAACGAAAGCGACUCGGUAGCGCCAUUUAGGCGUUCAAGAAUCCUACUACGUCUUGUCUAUGUGAUGUUGUUGCAUGAGCAAACGAGAAACUUGAAUACAAUGUCGAUGCAGAGGGAGUAGAUGUUUGUACUGGAAGAUGAAUAAGUAAAAGCUACGCCCUGCUUUAAGAAUUCAAAGUCAGUCUUUGUAUGUGUACGUACUGUCGUUGCAUGGUUGU